UAAACACGGACACGGGUACGGGUGGGGUGUGAGAUUCCGUAGAAUAAAUGACGUUUUUGUUGAUUGUUGCGUGGAGUUUUGCGAGAGUGCAUGCUGCGAAGGAUGCACGCGUUCGUUUCUUUGUGGCAUCGUGACUGGUGUACCGAUCCAAUUAGCGAUUGACGUUUCGGUGUGACGUUUAUGAUGCAAGAGAUUUUCUCUAUCACGACAGGCGUAACUGCUGUAAUGUCGGUGCGUAUGGUUUACAGCUUUACGCAGCCGUUUUUUUGCUAGCUUCAUCAAAAUAAAAUUGUAGGAAAUAAAGUGCGCUAGUUAUGCAUAAAACCGGAGGGAGAAGGUGAGAUGGCCAAAUUUCUUAGGACCACCUACACUCUAUACACGAGCCUUUAAUCUCGAUCGAUCGAAGCGCUCGAGAAGAUUUGUGCUCGAGAGUUUCGCUUCGGACGUGUAUCAAGAUAAGGAAGCGAUUUUACAGCCCACCGGCGGAGUAAAAGCACUCGAAACUCUUUAUAGCUUGCGCGACAAAAGCGGACAGUAUCCUUCAGGCGAGUGAUGCCACAAUUUGUCAACACGAAAAUAGUACUUCUAGCUGGCAAAGCCGGGCAACGUUGCAACGUGCCAGUAGCUUAUCUGGAUUGCUGUAAUGCAGCAAUAAUAGAUCGGCUUCGGAAGGGUCUGUGUGAGUAUGUACGCGCGUGUGUUGUGUGUCCAAGCCAGGGGCAAGGCAGGGGGGCCCUAUACUUCCUGGUCAAACACAUGGGUACACAGACCGCUCGGACGUACAUUGUACGCCUCACAAAUGCUCCAAGUGAGGCUACAAAUUGGCUCUAUUUUGCUUUUUACAGGGAUAACCUUUUUAGUACAUUGCUCGGAGCGAUAACAUGCUUGCCAGUUUUACAUGAGGUUUCGUUGCACGAGAAGACGCCAUUGCAGUGCCAGACAGUUUUGGAAACAUUUGUACACGUGAUAUGUUUCUUGUAUUCCCACCCUUAUUCAACUAGAACGAUCGUCCUAUCGGGUGCCCUUCGAUUUGCAAGUAAAUCCAGUAGCUUUACUGAGUGCAGUGAGUCAGUCAGUAAGAACAUGCUGGAAUAAGCAAGGAUACUUAUGAAGUUCGGCGUUUGCAAAAUCGGACCAGUGAAAAACACGAAAAAAGGAGGUUUGCGUAGGAAUUGGGAACGGAAUAUGUAUGCGUGUGUGUAUGUGUUGCAUUCUGGAUGAAGAAUAUCCUAAACUUUCAUACAAGGGGGUAAUGAUGGUGCCUUGGACUGCCAAAGUAAAUGCAAACAUUCAAACGAUGAUAGUUGUUCGGUUUGCUGCCAUUUCAAUGUCAUUUCUUUUGCACGCUCCACUUUGUCCAUCUUGGCCAGGCUAGCUGGAGGUGGAAAAUUCGUGUUCGGUCCAGUUUCUGUAGGAUAUUUUAAGCGUUCUAUAGUGCAACUGGGCAACUGGUAAGUGCAUCGAUGAACACGACAGGACGUAACCAUGUCCUGCUUGGUUCGUGCACAAUCGCGCACAGUGAUGACGCUGUUUCCAAUCGAGUGCCCUUUGCCGGAGCGGAGCUUUUGCCAGACAUAUUACCCUUCCAAGUGCCGAGUGAUGUCAUGUCCCAACGUGACCAAGCGGAUGGCAUUUGUUUUGCUCAUUCCUGUCACGUUCGGCACACGUGAAGAACCAACUGUACCGAAAAAAAGGCAGAAGCGGGACUCGCUUAUGGAAAUGCGAGGUCCUGUAUUUGGAAUCUUCUGUGGAAACGAAAUCUUCCAAUGAUUUCCAACGGCAGUGGAACAUCAGCACUCAGCCGUUGAUGCCACUCGUACUGUAACAUUUACACACACACAUACACAUUAAACUACCUAGGACGGAGGCCGAGGCAAUUGAAUCCCCGUUUGCAAGGCAAAUUUGCGUCCACAGCAUUGACAAUCGAGAAUUGCUGUCCAAUGUACCUAGCGCGUGUACCUAGGACCGUGAGUGUGACACUGAACCUGGGCAAAGGCAUGGUUUGUCAAAAGACGUGCGGACAGUUUGCCAUACAAUUUUUCUCAAUGUACCGGCGCGGACGUGAUUUGUUGCCGGUUCGUUUCCAUACAGACGACGUCAGCAGUGGUGUGUAUGUGUCAUUUAUAUCAAUUUUUCUCCCGUUCCACGUGGACAGUUUCGCUCGUGUGGCAAGUUCGUCGGGAGCUUUCAGCGCCUGGAGUAGAUGGAGAGCAAAAAAAAAAAAAGAUCGUUUAUUCAAGACUCUAUUUUAGUAGCCGGUUUAAAGCACACACGGGCAAGGAUCUAGAAUGCUUGUGGCUUGAGCAGGGCUAGUGCUUGCAUCGUUCACACGAAGCGGAUAGUCUUGGAGGAAAGCUGUGCUCUUUAAGCAUGCUUAAUUAAUUUUAACGAAUUAAUUUAAUCCAAUGCUAAUGAUAAUGAAAUCCACGUGGAUCUUUCCAUCUCCUCGCCGGUGCCAUGGUAAUGAGAGUGCAAGGCUCGAUUAGUAGCGAUGGAAGACACGCAAACUUCCAAAGCUUGCUCAUCGUGUCCUGCCUUGGUUUUGUUGUUUUUUUUUGCCCCGAAAUACCUGUAGAACCUUCAAAUUCGCUUUGAACAAGAAACUUUAGCUUAGAUAAAUAUUCUUCCCGGUAGAUGUGCAGGCUUCCGGAUUGAAAUCUUUUAAAGUAAGUGGAAACUCAUGUCUCGGACAUGUUACAAGCGUCGCUCCCUGGUAGCGAUGUAAAGCUUACAGUGUCUAAAAUUAGCAUGCCUUCUGCACUUCUUAUCUUACAGUAACAACCGGCAUCGCCUCCAAGCAGCCAGCUCCGAAUGUUAUUUAUCGUUUCAAUUUGCUGGUUAAUGGCAUGGUUAAGAGGUAAACCACCACCCACCACCCCAUUCCACGUUGAUUUGUCACCAAGUACAAGCAUGUCUUUUCUUGGCGGAAUGGAAUGUCUUUCCGUCGUUGCGGAGGUACGUAAAAUUUUAAUUAGCACCCGAUCAUAAAACAACUUUCCUUGCGAGGGGGGUAAUGCGUGCCAGUGUGUGUGGGUAUGUGGCGAUAUUCCUUAGCUUGGUUUGGUGCAAUAAAUUUCAUCCAUUUACAUGGGGACUUAACGAUGUUCGUGCUGUACCGCUUGGCACCUGCUAGAUAUGGUAGCAAAUUUUCACGUUGAAUAAAACCGAUCCGUCCGUUAAACUCCGCUCUGCAGCGUGUGGGUCGGUUGUGCCAUCUAGUGAAGAUUUUCGGACGUUAAUCCCGCCGGUAAAUAUGGGUCGCCUUUAUUGUUCACUCUUGUUCACGCGUCCAGCCAAAGAAAAGGGCAGCACACCGCUCUGGGUACCGCUGCCAGUGGAGCAUCCAGUGAGGCUCUCGUGGGGUGUUUGAUAAUAGAUUAUCCCAUAACUUGCCCAAACGAGCGAUGGCUUGGGGUAUACUUAGCAUAUGUUUUGUCUGCACCUUGCCAUCCUGCGUGCGUUUUGCGAAACACUCUUUUCCGAGUAGACAGUCAUGGCCAUCGUCGACGGUUGGGCAGACGCACCGGAAUGUGGGUUCACCUUCUGUUGUCGGUAUGCAUAAUCGUAUGCAACGGCAUCGGUGUCCGUCUCAUGGCCAUAUGGUGUGGCUUACACAUUGCGAUGCUUCUUGACGGAUCCUGCCUUUUCUGCUCGGUUCCAAAGCUCCGUCCGUGUGCGGUAGCGUAUAGUGAAGAACCUUCUCUUAUCCUAACCUUGUGCAACCAACGACACUACUGCUUCUGGUUGGUUAGUGGUCUGCAGUGGAGCAACCUGCUGCAAACUGGUAAAGAGAAAAACAGUAAAGGACAAAAGUUUCCCCCAUGAAGACCAAUUUUCUAACUACCAUUUAAGGUAAGAGCCAGGGAAAGGGGUUUAACGUCAUCUGGUACGAAGCACACAGGUAAGGUGUGUGAAGUUUAUACACUACACGGUAAAAGGUGGAACCAGUGUGAGGCAGUGGAACGGUUCGGUUAGUUCACUUAAUGGGGACCGGUUUGCACGUAUAGUUUCGUGUUGGAGUGGGAAGAUGGCCAUCCCACCGUCGUCGGCCCACCAAAAGCCAAACAUAAAACAUUCAUUAUAGCAAUGGACAAACAUCACUAUCCUAAACACAUUUUUGGCCAGAUGUCGGGAUGGGAGGAUAGAUUAGGUGCAAUGUUUGAGAAGUGCUUACCACUCUUGAUAUUUCAUGAAGGAAGGGGUUUUUUACUUGUACGAAUGUUUUAUUCAUGUUUGUAUGUAUAGCACAAGCAAAUAUAUUUGAAAAUUAUUCUAUUAAAAUUGCCCUUUUCUCUUCGUUUAGACGAAAUUAAAUGUGAAGAAAAUUAGUUAAGCCAAGGAAAUUUUCCAAAGCGUAUUUGCCAAUUUCAUGCGUAAAAGCGUGUCCUGAGACACAUUCAUCCAAAAAGCACCUCAUUUCACGUCUAACUUAAAGAAUCUACUUGAGUCCUUUUAGCAGAGGGUAAGUUUUAUCGCACCAGUAAAGACAACUAAGCAAACAAGGUUGUGUCAGAGGGAAGCUAUCACCUUUACGGUACACCCUAGUAUCACCAUAAACUCAAUCUCGUUUGUAAAGACAGAAACCGGAGUGUGUUUAGUGGACACUUUAAACUUUUAUUUAUAAUUAGUUUUAUGAUUUGCCUUUCUAUGAGACUAGAUUGAAAAGGUGCCCAUUUUUCUGCAUGCCUAAACUCACACCUACUGUUUGUGGAUCUACGGAACAGCUCUGGCGUUUUUUUGCAAGCAACAAACAACAAGGCUCGGAAUCCAAAAGUGGCAAGCAAAAUGCUUCAACAAAUAUGGCACACUUUGCGUACUUAUCGAUACAAUCUAAAUACGAUCUCGGCAGGGACAUGCUUUUGCCAAACUUUGCGGUUGUGUGGGGAAAGGACAUGUUUUAACGAAAUUGCUGUACCGUUAGGUUAGUUGCUUUGACUCUUUGCAUCAUGGUGUUUGACGCUUAGAUUUGACCUUAGCCGGUUUCAUGGUACCCAGCAUCUUUGCUGUCAAAAUAGAGUCCAUUUAGAUGAGAUGGUCUGCUGAAGGGUUGACAGGGAAAAAUCAUACCAUACGUGGGAUGUGUUUGCAUCGCCUGCAACACCUCCUGCUGUUUCGUGGUUAGUACCUUUUAAUUAAAUAAAAUGCUUUACCCUAAUAGGAAACUGUUUAGAAGGUCAGGUUUUUGGGGCAGAAAGACAAUUUAGAUGCAGUGUGUUGAUAAAAGUAGUGGUGAAAGAUAGUGGUGGAAGGUAGAAAGAGUCGGGAAUAUGGCACAACUUGGAUAGAUGCAUAAUUUCUUAAGGUAAUUUCACGAUUCUUCUUCUUCUUCAUAUUGGCUAACUGUGGUCAUGUCGACCUAGACAAGUUUUCGAGACUUAUUAAGUAUCACGUAGGCGGAUAGUUAGGACUUUCUAAGGGGGGAUGGUCCAUAUGAGGUUUGAAGUCACAACGGGCAUGAUGUUAAGUCGUGCGAGUUUACUACUGUGCAACGUCCAAGAAACAAUUCCUAUACCUUUUACACUUGAACAUAUCUAAAGAAUGCUUUACUAUGAGUAUACUAAGCCACAUAGUUUUAACAUGUGUUUUGAAGAUGCUUAACAGUCUUUAAAGUUGUUAAACCUUUAAAACGAUCUGAAUACGCUUAUAAGACUGGCUUAUAAGACUUAUAAGAUGGCUGGCUUUAAUUAACCUGUAAAUGUAUUUUUAAGCACGUUUUAAGACUUGUUAUUUGAGACUAAGGUAUUAACUGAUCUUAUUAUUUAUAUAAAAGUCUUGGAUGAAGGAAACAUGGAACAAAAUAUGCAGGGUGUAUCUCAGAUACGCUAUCAACGCAAAACGUGGGGUGGUCCCGUAGUACAGUCGUUAAUUCAAGCGACUCAAUAACAUGCUCGUCAUGGGUUCAAGCCUAGAAUGGACCGAGCCUCCGUAGCAAGGAUUGACUAUCCGGCUGCGUGCUAGUGAAUUAAGUAACGAAAGCCUGUAUAGGCCGGCAGGACAGCAGUUUAGCUGUCAAAAGUUGUUGUUUGACCGCAUUGAUGAUAUUUUUCACAAGCGCAAUAUGAUUUUAAAUCGUUCAAGUUGUUUUUUAGAGACCUUUUGCAUCGUUUUGCAAAUUCAAACACGCAUUUUAGAUUAUUUGUAUACAAAUCAAUUAUUUAGUGCGUUUCUAGCGUUAUAUUUAUGAAAUAUUACGUAUUUAAUGUAAAAAAUAAUAUUUUCUGUGCAAAAAGCGCUUCUCAAAAAUAUCAUCGGUGCGGUCAAACAACAACUUUUAACAGCUAAACUGCAUCUUGUGCUUCUGAAAUUGUUUUGCUGACAUUCGAUUCUGACUUGUAAAGUAAAAUUUAACAUAUAAUUUAAAGUGUACUCCAAAAUAGCUCCGUCAAUCUGUCUCACUAAACCACAUAAAUCAUUUGACUAAAGUAUUCCUUCGUGAAGGACCAUGCGUCUCCUUCACAUUUUCCAUAAUCCUCCAUGCAGGGCAAGCUAUAAGUACACUGCAAUAUGUGUUUGUGUGUGUUUGCGUGUUUAUUAGUGGUUGUUUGAAUUGACCAGUGUUGAAGAGUUGAGUACACAUAACAUUAGUUAUCACCGCUCCUGCGAACCAACUGCUGUAUUAUAAUGCUUCAUACAGCAUGUAGCACAGCUACUUCAUUUUUUCCUGCUGACUUGUAUGCAUCUUUUAUGCUGAUUUAUUCUCCCGAUACAAGUGGGGAAUGAAAAAAGAUGAAAAAAAAACAUUCGAAAACAUGUUCACCUCACUGCCGCUCGAUGAAUUGUGGCCACAGAAACAAAAAGAACCGAGCACGUAUGCACAUUGUGCCAACUCUCAAUGCACGCAUGCAGUCGGGCAGUUUUUACAAAACUCUGCCAAUGAGUUGAACAAUCGUAAGCUAGGGAGGAAAAAAUAGAAAACGAGACGCGUUUUAAAAUGAAAGAAUACAAAAACAUCCUUCACAUUGUUGGCUUUUCGCACGCCACUCAGUACCCGCCAGUGCCACUCCAUCGGAACAGUUGAUCCAUACCACUUAUGUUACCCGUACUGACUGACCAUCUAACCGGAAGUGACGGCUAGAGCGUACGGUACGUGUUGCGCCUUCCCGGAGCUAUUUAAUGCACUGAUAUCGGUGGGUUAGGCCGUAUGAAGUGGUCGGCAUGCAGUGUGAUAUGGCACUGAAUCUAUCUAAAUCCGCGCGAACCAUGAUGUUUCAAAGUGUGCCACGCUGAAUGAAGCAAACGUAUGGCUAGCGCUCGACAGUGAAGGCUUUUCAGCGAUUUUAAUCUACAUACUCUCAAUCACAGACUCGCCUGGCAGUCGGUCUAUUGUUUCACUUGCAAGGGCUUGCUUUUAUUUCCUAGCGAGCUAUCGAAACUUAUCAAUCGGCUUGAUUAAUACAAAAUCGGUUCGUUUGCCAUUGAGUGUGUUUUGCUAUCCGAUGUUAUUGUGAAUUUAUUAUGCGCAUUUUACAAUAGCACUUCUAGCGGGAUAGAUGAAUAGCAAGAAAGGUAGAAAGUGAAAGAUAAAAUAGCGUAACGAUUUAAUGAGUAAUUCAUUGUAUAACAAGUAAUCUAUCUAGUAACGAGUUUUCUGCUGUUCGAAUGCAAACUCCAGUAUAAACAAACCUAAUUGUGUAUUUUAUUUUAAACAUUGGUUUUGUCGUGCUAUUUGUUGUUCUCUAAUAUUAUUGAUUCCAUUUGUGAAAGACUUAAAUUAAAUGCUGUAACAAUGUUUGGCCGCUCGGGGAGGAAUGUCUUUUCAAAUGUUUGGCACCAUUCAUUAAUGUUAACCUGCGCGCUAAUUUGAACUGUUUGAAAAUAAUGCUGUCAACAUUCAAAGUUGACUAGGAAAAGUAUUUCAAUUAUGUCACAAAUGAAUAUUUCGAAUGAACAAGCACCCGGUUAACAAGCGUACCACUGAAUUCUGUCAUACAUUUUGUGCAUUUAGUCAUGUGCUUAGUAACCGAAUAGUAGAAGCCUGUUUCCAAACACGUCACUAACGGUUACACUAUCGUUUGCAUACCCUGGGCUAACAUACUCAUGCAAUAGAUACCACACCCGGGGAUUAGAGGGAGACGUGACGAAAUCUGGUCAAACAAGAUUAAAAUCACUGCAAACAACAACCGGCUCCGAAACGGUUUCGGUAGAAGAUCCCUCAGGGCCUGUGUUACAGCAGUUUGUUGAUUGAAUCGGAUCCAAAAUAUUUGCCGGCCCGCCAUAAGAGCAUGAGUGGAUUGGGAUCGAAAUAGUAAAUUCCCCCAGGGGAGUAUGCAAUCAAUCGUGCUGGUACAUGCUCCUUUGCCAGCCCUCAAAAUCACCUUUAAUGAUAAGAGGCUUUAAAAAAGGAAACAAAUAAAAGGUUACCCAUUAGAACCACUUCGUAUGGAGGAAAGUGAACCGUUAUUGCUCGUUUUAUUGAUGUUGAUCCUGUUGAUGAUUUUGCAAUUUUUUCGUCCUGAAAUCUGAUUUGAGGCGAAUGAAAUCAGCUCUUAUUAGAACAGUGCAUGAAAAAAGGACCUCUGAACUAGAAGCUAGGAAUUGCAGAGUUAACAUAUCAGAGAGCAAAAUUACCUUUGCCUGCAGUGGAGCUUUUUAUCAUUUAGUCUAUAAAUGGAAUGGUUUCUUUUUGGCACGAGCCCAUUUUAAACCUACGAUGAACCGUUUUCCAAUCAUCAUUUUUGGUGAACUGUAUUGGCAAUUUCACGAAAUGGGAAUGCGUGUGAAUAAUCCAUAGAAUGUUUUAGUGAAAAAAGGGAACGGCCAGACACGGACAGAAACACGAACCAUUAGAUAAAAUCGACAAUCGGGACUUUAGUCCACUCCAGUCCAAUAACCGUACUGGCAAAAGUUCGCAAAGCGUUACAGACUGGACCGUACUGAACCGCUAAAUCUUUCAUCGUUGUAACGAUGAGCACCACCACUGUUUCGAAUUAGGGAUUUGGGGUCUUGGACAAUCGUACGUAUAGCGAGUGCGUUCGAAAAUGGUUUGCCAUUUUCACUGACCAAACGGUUAUCGAAUUCGGGAUGGGAUAGCAUUCGGAUUGGAAAAACCAUGAUAAAUGCCUUAGCAAAGCUUAUCUUAUCUAUCGAUGACCUAGCUUUGUGCUGUUUCGGUCUAGUGAAACCCGUUGUACUGUGCUUUUUUUUAUUUGCUCAUCGACAAACAGGGGAUUUGGCGUUGUUGAAAGACUCUCUCUCUCUCUCUCUCAGGCUGCAGUAAAAGAUUCCGGACGAUUUUAGUCUCAGGAUAUAGCGAGAGAAGUUAAUACAAAUUGUUGAGAAUUAAUGGCAUUCAAUCUGGGAUUAGUAGCAGGCAGGGUGGUUUGGUUGUUUGCAGCUACCAUGAGAUUGGACUUCAUCGAUGGAUGAAACAAAAGGGUGAGCUUAAGCAUUUCUAGAGUUUUUUUCUCUCUUUUCGUUUAAUUGAUCUUCAGCUAUUUAGACACAGUGUUUGAACAAAUUGCGUGCGGAAAAUAAUGCUCCGUGUGGUUAGCGGGGUUGAAUUUUAAUAAUUGCUAGGUUAUGUGAUUUAUGAAUAGAAGCUUCCCAUGAACAGAGGGUCGUGUGUUACAGUAUGUACUAUUAUUUGUAUUUUAACAGUUCACUGCACGCAAACGUACAUCGUCCUGACUGGUGCAAUCCCUAACGGACUAAGGGCUGUAGGCUAUAUUUAGAUCACAGAUUAAAUUUAGCGUUUACUGUAAUAGUGUGUGGCGAUUUUCAAACAUAUCGAUAAUUGCAAAUAAAGAAAAAUGUAACUGAGAAAUAAUGUGUUACACAUGUUCAGGAUUGUAAAGCACGAAAAACAAUGCUACAAAAAUAAUAGAACACCAAAACAGACAGAAGCCUAUAUUUUUAUUCAAAUAUGAAUGCAUUCAAAAAUUAAUUAUAAUUUAGUACGUCUUAUAAAUAUAGAAAAUAAAUUUUCGUUGUUAAACCGUU